CCCUUAGACGUUCUGGGCCGCACGCGCGCUACACUGACACAGGCAACGAGCUUUCCUUUACCGAAAGGUAUGGGUAAUCUUUUGAAACUGUGUCGUGCUGGGGAUAGAUCCUUGCAAUUUUUGAUCUUAAACGAGGAAUUCCUAGUAAGCGCGAGUCAUCAACUCGCGUUGAUUACGUCCCUGCCCUUUGUACACACCGCCCGUCGCUACUACCGAUUGAAUGGCUUAGUGAGGCCUCAGGAUCCGCGCUUAAUGUGUGGAGAAUUUGGACAAACUACGUCAUUUAGGGGAAGUAAAAGUCGUAACA
rnacentral:rRNA from 1 species